GCAAACUUGGUCAUUUAGAGGAAGUAAAAGUCGUAACAAGGUUUCCGUAGGUGAACCUGCGGAAGGAUCAUUAACGAUAUCUAUAUAUAUAAUGAUAGACCCCCUUUGUGUGUUUGUAAUUACUGAAAAAACAAAAAGGUUUAAUCUCUUUGGGGGAGAUAUCAAAGGAAGGAGUAAUUGGGUAAGUGACUCUUUUUGAUUCUAAACCCUUUUCCCUUUCUCUCCCCCAAGAGAAUAUCUUUUAGAUACACAUUUCUCUUUGUAAGCUAAUUAAUUAUGAUUAAUUUGUAAUGAAUGAUAUAAUAAAAAGAAAAAAAACUUUCAACAACGGAUCUCUUGGCUCUCGCAUCGAUGAAGAACGCAGC
rnacentral:misc_RNA from 1 species